rfam:Dictyostelium fasciculatum unplaced genomic scaffold Scf_Dfasci-G-b-205a01.r1-3, whole genome shotgun sequence.
CAAAGGGUGUUUAUCAACACCACCCAUUCUAAAUUAAUCAUAUUCG